UACGUAGGGGCCGAGCGUUGUCCGGAGUUAUUGGGCGUAAAGCGCGCGCAGGCGGCCUCGCGCGCCCGACGUGAAAGCCCCCGGCUUAACCGGGGAGGGUCGUUGGGGACGGCGGGGCUUGAGGGCGGGAGAGGGUGGUGGAAUUCCGGGUGUAGUGGUGAAAUGCGUAGAGAUCCGGAGGAACACCAGUGGCGAAGGCGACACGCUGGGCCGUACCUGACACUGAUGCGCGACAGCAUGGGGAGCAAACAGG
rnacentral:rRNA from 1 species